rnacentral:rRNA from 1 species
CGACGUAAAGAACUUGCCUCACAGCUAGGGACAACAUUUGGAAACGAAUGCUAAUACCUGAUAUUAUGAUUUUAGGGCAUCCUAGAAUUAUGAAAGCUAUAUGCGCUGUGAGAGAGCUUUGCGUCCCAUUAGCUAGUUGGAGAGGUAACGGCUCACCAAGGCGAUGAUGGGUAGCCGGCCUGAGAGGGUGAUCGGCCACAAGGGGACUGAGACACGGCCCUU